rnacentral:rRNA from 1 species
AUUGAACGCUGGCGGCAGGCCUAACACAUGCAAGUCGAGCGGAUGAGAGGAGCUUGCUCCUCGAUUCAGCGGCGGACGGGUGAGUAAUGCCUAGGAAUCUGCCCAGUAGUGGGGGACAACGUUUCGAAAGGAACGCUAAUACCGCAGACGUCCUACGGGAGAAAGUGGGGGAGCUUCGGACCUCACGCUCUUGGAUGAGCCUAGGUCGGAUUAGCUAGUUGGUAGGGUAAAGGCCUACCAAGGCGACGAUCCGUAACUGGUCUGAGAGGAUGAUCAGUCACACUGGAACUGAGACACGGUCCAGACUCCUACGGGAGGCAGCAGUGGGGAAUAUUGGACAAUGGGCGCAAGCCUGAUCCAGCCAUGCCGCGUGUGUGAAGAAGGCCCUCGGGUCGUAAAGCACUUUAAGUUGGGAGGAAGGGCUUACAGCGAAUACCUGUGAGUUUUGACGUUACCGACAGAAUAAGCACCGGCUAACUUCGUGCCAGCCGCCGCCGUAA